UUUCGCCUGUUUAACAAAAACAUUGCCUCUUGUUAAAAUAUAAAAGGUACAUCCUGCCCAGUGACUUAAAGUUCAACGGCCGCGGUACCCUGACCGUGCUAAGGUAGCAUAAUCAUUUGCCUCUUAAUUAGUGGCUAGUAUGAAUGGACAAACGAAAGUUCCCCUGUCUCUAUUUAGCCAAUGAAAAUUAAUCUUCAGGUGAAGAAGCCUGAAUUUUCUUAAAAGACAAAAAGACCCUAUUGAGCUUUAUUCUAAUUCUAGACAUCUAUAAUAAAAAUAAAAUUUUCUCUAAAAUAAGAAUUUUGCUGGGGCAGCAAAGGAACACCCAAAAAUUCCUUUUUCAAAAGACUUAUUAGUCCACCUAAAUGAUCCAUUUUUAUGAUUAACAAAACUAGCUACCAUAGGGAUAACAGGCUAAUUUUUCUCUAGAGCUCAAAUUGACAGAAAAGAUUGGCACCUCGAUGUUGGCUUAGGAUAUCCUUAGGGCGCAAAAGCUCCCAAAAGCUAGGUUUGUUCAACCUUUAAAAUCCUACGUGAUCUGAUUUUCUACCGGAAGCACCCCCAUUUUUUCAUAUGAUCAUCUUCCAU
rnacentral:rRNA from 1 species